AGUGAACGCUGGCGGUAGGCCUAACACAUGCAAGUCGAACGGCAGCACAGUAAGAGCUUGCUCUUACGGGUGGCGAGUGGCGGACGGGUGAGGUAUACAUCGGAAUCUACUUUUUCGUGGGGGAUAACGUAGGGAAACUUACGCUCAUACCGCAUACGACCUACGAGUGAAAGCAGGGGAUCUUCGCACCUUUCGCGAUUGAAUGAGCCGAUGUCGGAUUAGCUAGUUGGCGGGGGAAAGGCCAACCAAGGCGACGAUCCGUAUCUGGUCGGAGAGGAUGGUCAGCCACACGGGAGCUGGGACACGGUCCUGACUCCUACGAGAGGCACCAGUGGGGAAUGGUGGACAAUGGUGGCAAACCUGGCACAACGAGCCCGCGUGGGAUAAGAAGGCCUUGGGGUCGUAAAGCCCGUUUGUGGGGAAAGAAAAGCAGCAGGUUAAUACCCCGCUGUUCUGACGGUACCCAAAGAAUAAGCACCGGCUAACUUCGUG
rnacentral:rRNA from 1 species